GCUUUAUUGCUUUAUUUUCAUAUCUUUAGCAUCCAUUGGGGAUACAAGGGGAGCCAGUUCCCAUUUUCAGAGCAGUGUAUAAAGACUUGCUGGGGAGGGGAGGUGUUAUGUACACAGAACUCAAUGCAAAGGGACAAGGCAAGGUCACACACAAACACGGGUGUGAGUGAGCUGGGCUCCCCAAAGAUGGAGAACUCCUUGUAAACUGGAAAGCCUUGGAAAGCUUCCUGGGGGAGCUGCAGGAUGUUAUAAGAGGCAGCCGUGGGUGAACACGGAGGCAGAUGAAUGGAAGGCAGGGAGUAGGUCUGAUGAGUAGGUGCAAAGGGAAAGGAGGAGAGAGAGUUGGGAGAUGGGUGGAGUCAGAGCCUGGUGACAGUAGAGUUUAGGAGAAAAUGUCCCUGCAGACGGAGCACAGCUGGAGGCUGAAGGCACAUGAGGAGACCGAGAGCACUGGCCAGCGUCACAUUUCACUUGCGUGCCCUCGUAAAUUCUCCUCCCAUGACUGUGUGAGCACAAUGAGAAGAAAGGUGAGUCCUCUCCUAUCCUCCCUCCACCCCACUGCUGAGAAGGAUGCUGGGCACAGAGUAGGCACUGACACAUGUUAAGCCAGCAGGCUGGGGGGCGGGGGGUUGAGGGAUGAGGACCUCCCUUGUGGGCAGGCUGAUUCGAAGAGGGGGCUGGUUCUUCCCAGGGAGGGGGGACGUACUUGAAUUUGAGUCCGGCACAUAGAAGGCAGCCUUGAGUCAUCACUCCAGGUGGCAACUGAAGCUAAGCAAUGAACAGAGCUCUUCAAAGGGGACAGAGCAGCAAAGGAACAGAGACUGAGCCUUCCCGGGCAGGGGAGCUGCUUGUGAACAUACACUGGCAAAGCUUGGAGUCAGAACUCGUGAAAAUGUCACCAUUUCAUUCAUUGCCUAAAGGAUAGUUCUGUUUCACUGUCAGUAAAUCCCAAAUUAAGAAAAAAAUAAUCCAAACACAUACACUGGUUUUUCACAUUACAAGAGGACUACCCAUUUAAAACCUCAGGUUUCCUUCAAGGUCUAAUCCCUCUGCAGUUUGAAAAAUGGUGUGAUUUGCCAGAAGCCUCUUCUGGAGCCAGGCAGUUGCAGGAUAACCCCCAGGUUACAAGGCAGACCCGCGAGUUAAGGUGCCUGGAUUUGAGCCCCCCACCACCACCCACCUACUCCCAAUCCCCGG
rnacentral:lncRNA from 1 species